CAGGUCUUUAAGGCCACUGAGGGAGGGAGAAUUUGUUUUGUCUGGGAACAAUCCCCCUGAUACAUCAUCCAAUCAGAAGUGGAAAUUUGGCUCCAUGAAGCCAUUAGAUGGAAAAAAGUGGCUCCUGUACAGACACCACGAAAGGAUCCUAGAGAUACCUGGGAUCUUCACAGCAGUAUUUGUGGGAACAAACUAAGAAAGGGAAAAAUAUAGAACAAGUUUGGUCCCACCAUCCCUAUCGAAAAAUACUGGACCUUUGCAACAAUGGGAAGGAAAACUAGCUAGUUGUCACAGAUGGGGUGAGAAGUUGUGCUAUAGAUGCCUCCCUGGGUAAAUGCUGCUACAUCUACCACACAAAGCAAAGCUCCACAGCAAAGAAUUAUAUGACACAAGAUGCCAUCGCCAUAAGGGGAAGAAGCAUUGAGCCAGAAGAAGGUAUUUAUAACGGUGAAAAUUUUGAAACAUAGAAUACAUUUUGUGACUAAAUUCAAAACAAAGUCAACAAACUCUCGAUUUGGACUUAAAUGGUUAUUUAACUAAAAAUUGCAUCAUCUCCCCUCUCCCUUUCCUCCCUCCUCCCCGUCCUAUGCCUAC
rnacentral:lncRNA from 1 species